rnacentral:lncRNA from 1 species
UACCUUAUUGUUAGUAAGGCUCUUCAUUACAGUUUCAGGGUCUUCUAGCUAGCUAGAGAUCGGAAGGGAGCUAUAUCAUAGUCACAAAGUUCCCUGUAUGUAGGGUACGAUGAACGAAACGGGAUCGUCGAUUUGAUGUGUUCCCGGUUCGUAAGGGGUUUACCUCUUCGGAGUGAUUGAUUUGAGGAGUGGAUCAUGAUCCAUAUGUAACUGGAGUGAUGUUCCCGGGACGUAGCUAUGGAAUGCGGGAUAUUUUUAGACCAAAGGGUUAUAGCCCAGCUUAUAUUGAAAGCUUAACAAGGAUUUUACUGAUACCGAUUUACAAUAAACGCGUUCGAAACACUCCCCCACAAACCAAAGCACCACAACAUAUACCAGAAAACAGCCUCGAUCCUACCAAAAGAUCACAACCUCCGUCUCAGAGGACUACUCAAAAAAAGAGAAAAAAAUUUAAAAGACGUACGCUUGGCCUGCAUCUAAACAUAUACAGGUAUAUAUUUUUCGUCAUUGUUCAACCACUCUUGGCACGAACUCACCUAGCAUUCUGGAUGUGUUUUAUUUUUAUGUUCUCUUAGCCACCUCAGAUUAAGGAUGAAAACGGUCAAAAAAACUUCUAAAUUGUUUUCUAUUUCUACAUUUGAAAUACGAAAACGAAAACAAAAAUGGUAAACUCGGACACAAAAACGAACACGAACUUACGAAAUAUCGAGAAUUUCGAAAACGAACCAAUUCGAGCGGAUUAUGUCGAACACGGUCGAUAUAUGGAAACUCA